UACGUAGGGGGCAAGCGUUGUCCGGAAUCAUUGGGCGUAAAGCGCGUGUAGGCGGCUCGGGUAGUCUGGUGUGAAAUCUUUCGGCUCAACCGGAAGCGGUCACUGGAUACUCCCGGGCUUGAGUCCGGAAGAGGAGAGUGGAAUUCCUGGUGUAGCGGUGGAAUGCGCAGAUAUCAGGAAGAACACCAACGGCGAAGGCAGCUCGCUGGGACGGAACUGACGCUAAGGCGCGAAAGCGUGGGGAGCGAACAGG
rnacentral:rRNA from 1 species